AGGUGAAGCAAAUCCCCAAAAAGUGUCUCAGUUCAGAUUGUAGGCUGCAACUCGCCUACAUGAAGUCGGAAUUGCUAGUAAUCGCGGAUCAGCAUGCCGCGGUGAAUACGUUCCCGGGCCUUGUACACACCGCCCGUCACACCAUGAGAGCCGGUAACACCCGAAGUCAGUAGCCUAACCGCAAGGGGGGCGCUGCCGAAGGUGGGAUUGGUAAUUGGGGUGAAGUCGUAACAAGGUAUC
rnacentral:rRNA from 1 species